GGGUCGCGGGGCCCGCAGCCCCAGGGCCGAGCAGCAGCGGUGCGUGAGGCUGCCAAGGAGGGAACCGUCCCGCUGGAAGGGGCCUUGCAGUCCAGCCGUAACCUAAAUCCACCUGCCAUAAGCUCAUCUGCCUGUUCAGCGCUGAAGUCACGGUGCUGAGCGCGGUAUUUCUUUUAAACACUUCAGGGAUGUGACUGCUCCACCUCCCUGGGCAGCCUGUUCCAGCGUCCAGCCUGUUUGUCGGUAAAUAAAUCCUUCCUAAUAUCUAGUCUAAACCUCCCCUUCAGCUUCAGGCCGUUUCCUCUCAUCCUGCCGUUACUCUCUGGAGAGAAGAGGCCUGUUCCAGCUUAGGCUGAGAAGUGAAAUAAUUCCCAAGUGUGCACACCAGCCUGGCUGCUUCUUGGCACUCACCUGUUGCACAAGAGCCAGUUAUUGACGAAGGUGGUGAUGAGUUGUGCAAGGCAGCCCCCGGGCUGCCUCACGCCGUGGAAGGCUACCAAGGUCCUUUGAUGGUACCAAAGGGCUGGUAACUCAGGAUGGGUUUGAAAUAGCUCUGUGUUGUGUGGCAAAAUCCUGGAGCCAUCCUCCCCUUGGAAAGACCACAUUCUUCUACAGACACGGUGACGUGAAGGAUUACUUUGCAAAGCUGAUGGUGCACAGGGGACCAGACUCCUAGAUGGAAACCAAGCCUUGCUGAAAUCUGUUGUGAGCUGUUUCCAAGCACAGAUUGCACCCUGAAUGCAUGUGGGCAGGAGCUGGAUGAAUAAGGAGAAGCUGAGGGAUCCUCUGAAUGAAAAGCUGUAGCAAUUUUUCAUCUGCGUCAUCGUGCAGGAGUGGAGGAUUCCAGCAAAGGUUACUAGUUAUGUAAAUUAUGUUGUUUUCCUUGGCUGUCAGGACAAACCUGGAUGGGUGACCAGGAAUGGAGGGAGUGUGAACUGCUCAUGGCUUGGGACCCCUUAUCAAAGUACAUCAGGCUCUGCCAAGUGUUUGACAGACUUGUGCUCACAGAGAGUUUCUCAAUCUGCGAGCCAUGGCUGAUUGGCAAAGCUCUAUGGAGCAGCAUCCCAUCUAGCUCUGGGAAACACGCUGUGAUGAGGCCUGGAGAACUCAGGUCCAGUGGGAAGCGUGAGGGGGGAUCCCAGGUUGAGAAGCACUGCACACACAGUCGGCACAGGACAGAACACCUGCCUGAGCAGAGCUGCCUCAGGGCUCCCUGGCACCACAGACAGUAUUGAAAACUCCUGUGUUGAAGAAGAAGGUGUUAGGCCAGGCUGGACUUAACCUAGAAGGGACCUGGACAAGAAGGAGGAAGAAUGAGAGUGAGGGGAGGGAAAAAAUGCCUCAGGCAGGGGGGGGUUACUCUGGAAAUAUUUGCUUCCCUUUCGUGCUAGAGGGAUGGGACAGGGUGAGGCAGCAGCAUUUGGUUUGCUGCUCUGGAAAGCCAUCCUGCAAGUGCUGUUUGUCAUCUCACACACCCUGACAGGCCUUGGCAGCAGCACACCCUUAUCUCCUGCAUGCUGGUGAAUUUGGCUGUGUGGCAGUUUCCCAAUUCACCAGGGCUGGGCCUGGGCUGCUCUCUGUGUUCCCUGCAGCCUCCUUCUCUGCAUUCCAAAGGGCAAAAUAAUUUUUAAUGUUUUUUUUUAAUAACUUUGGAUAUAAUUCCAGCUUUAGGCAGAAAAUUUUCAUCCAUUGCUUAAGCCUUUGGCAGUUUGAAGGGGAGGAAUAUUGUCCCUGUGAAGAUACCCAGCAGGUGAAAUGCCUGCCACCUCUUCACGCAAUUACAAUGACGUGCCUCAGUGAUGUUCCCCAUGGGCUGGGUUGGUGGAGGAUGCCACACAGCUUUUCCUUUCCCUGCACUCAGCUUGGGGUUCAGGCUUCACACCUGCCCCUGCAUUACUUACACCCAUCUAUUGUUUUGUUAUUUACAUAUCUCAGGUUCUGUAACUCAGCAGCAGCCUCCUUACGUGCACGUUAUGCGGAGGCAUUACAUGAAUUUGUGCAGGUUGUGCAGAGCUACCUGCUGGGAGCUUCCAAAGGGAUGAGCCAUUUUACACACCCACGGGUGGAACAGAUGAGGAAGCUGCAAAAGAUAAGUUUUUUUGCUCUUGUUUUUUUUUAAUGGUGGGUCUUUAUUUUCAAGCGUUGAUGCCUUGAAGUUGUUGAUGUGUUUGAAGUUGUCCAGGGACACACACACCUGCAAGCUGGCUUGUUUGCAUCUAGUGCUCCCCUGGAAUUGGUUUUAGUGGGUGUUGUGUGGUGAUUGCAUCGUGUGGCCUUCUCGGGAGGGUUUUGUUUAGCAUCCCAGUGUCCCUCACCCAAAAUGGAUCAACGCUCCAGACCUUGAUGGGUUUCCACAGAAACCAAACAUCACUGGCUGCAGCGAGCUGGCUCUGUCCCGACCUGCACCCGCUGGGGAAAACAGGAGGAGCUGGCCUUUAAAAAUAAAUUUUUGUCCGGUGUGACUCAGAUAACCGUCCUUAAUAGCCAGAAAGUACAAACGGCCGCCGAGUCCCUUCAAGUUAUGCGGAGCACGCCAGACAUGCGGGAUAGGGGCGUGGAGGGCAAGUAUCUGGGUUAGGCGCAGCGCCGGUGUUGAAAACCUAAUGGGAAUAAUUACAGGUAAAAGGGGAGCGAGCCGGGGAACCCUGUCCGUG